AGCGCCGGACGGGUGAGUAACACGUGGGCAACCUGCCUGUAAGACUGGGAUAACUUCGGGAAACCGAAGCUAAUACCGGAUAGGAUCUUCUCCUUCAUGGGAGAUGAUUGAAAGAUGGUUUCGGCUAUCACUUACAGAUGGGCCCGCGGUGCAUUAGCUAGUUGGUGAGGUAACGGCUCACCAAGGCAACGAUGCAUAGCCGACCUGAGAGGGUGAUCGGCCACACUGGGACUGAGACACGGCCCAGACUCCUACGGGAGGCAGCAGUAGGGAAUCUUCCGCAAUGGACGAAAGUCUGACGGAGCAACGCCGCGUGAGUGAUGAAGGCUUUCGGGUCGUAAAACUCUGUUGUUAGGGAAAAACAAGUACGAGAGUAACUGCUCGUACCUUGACGGGACCUAACCAGAAAGCCACGGCUAACUACGUGCCACCAGCCGCGGUAAUACGUAUGUGGCAAGCGUUAUCCGGAAUUAUUGGGCGUAAAGCGCGCGCAGGCGGUUUCUUAAGUCUGAUGUGAAAGCCCACGGCUCAACCGUGGAGGGUCAUUGGAAACUGGGGAACUUGAGUGCACAAGAGAAAAGCGGAAUUCCACGUGUAGCGGUGAAAUGCGUACAGAUGUGGAGGAACACCAGUGGCGAAGGCGGCUUUUUGGUCUGUAACUGACGCUGAGGCGCGAAAGCGUGGGGAGCAAACACGAUUACAUACCCUGGUAGUCCACGCCGUACACGAUG
rnacentral:rRNA from 1 species